rnacentral:rRNA from 1 species
GGCAACCCUGAUCCAGCAAUGCCGCGUGCAGGAAGAAGGCCUUCGGGUUGUAAACUGCUUUUGUCAGGGAAGAAAUCCUGUGGGUUAAUACCUCGUGGGGAUGACGGUACCUGAAGAAUAAGCACCGGCUAACUACGUGCCAGCAGCCGCGGUAAUACGUAGGGUGCGAGCGUUAAUCGGAAUUACUGGGCGUAAAGCGUGCGCAGGCGGUUUUGUAAGACAGAGGUGAAAUCCCCGGGCUCAACCUGGGAACUGCCUUUGUGACUGCAAGGCUGGAGUACGGCAGAGGGGGAUGGAAUUCCG